CACCAACUUCCCCACCACACUCAACUAUCAGCCACCACCCUUUUUCUCCACCAAACUUUCCACUUAUUUCCUUCCCCACCACACGCAAUAAUGCAAUACUCACUCUCAGCUCAUUCACAGAGUACCAAAGAACAAUCCCAGCUUGUUCCUGUCAAGUUCUCAAGUUUCUAUCCACUGAUUCAAACACCACAGCAGCCAACAUCAAUUUACAGCAACUCACUCCUGGAGAAAUCAACUUAUUUUCAUAAGAGGUCAAGCGCGAGAGUAAGAACUACACAAGGAGUUAGAGUACCUUAGCAAAACUUUGCUAUCAGGUGGGCAAUUUCUUACGCGUAAAUAAAAUGCUAUGCAUGUGUUAUGCUUUAUAAUGCAAAUUGGAUCUUCAAGUAUGAUAUGCUUUAUUAUGCUUUACGCUAAAUGAUUUACGCUUGAUUACGCUUAUUUACGCUUGAAUGCUUUACGCUGAUAAGUUUAUGCCUGUGAUUGAUGCUUGCGUCUGUUGGGGGAGGCCUCCCUCAACAGUACGAUGCCGUGUCCGCUGAGGAGGGCCUUCCUCACGGCGCGAUGCCCGUGUCCGCUGAGGGAGGCCUCCCUAGCGGCGCGAUGCCAGUAUUCCAGUGUUACAGCGUCUAUUGGGGGAGGCCUCCCUCAAUAGUACGAUGCCGUGACCGCUGAGGGAGGCCCCCUUCACGGCGCGAUGCCCGUGUUCGUUGGGGAAGGCCUUCUCCACGACACGAUGCGUGUUGAUGAUUGUUAAUGAUGAAGAAUGCACUCAUGCUGUUUAUGAAUAUGGAAAUGUUUAAUGAGCAAAGGAUUUGAAAGAAACUUAUGCCUCUUAUGCGAAGUUGUGUUUUGUUGUUGAUAUUAUGUUAUAUGCUUGGCACUGCCCACUGAGUACUCUUGUACUCAGCCCUUCGUAUGUUUAUGUUUGUGCAGGUUGAGUUGUGAUGGGCGAUGAAGUGUUGCUGAGUGGAGUUUUUGUUGAACUUAAAGUAGGCUCAGAAAGGAUACAUGUCUUCAUACAUGUAUCUCAGUUAUGCAUUCCGCUGUAAACACUGAUUAUUUCAGUUACACCUUCCGUUGCAAACUCUGAUAAUGUUUUAGCCAAGCCCCUAACGAUGCCUUUUUCCUUUUAAGGAAUAUAACGCUUAUACAA